GUGGGAAUAGCUCAGUGGUAGAGCGCAUGCUUAGCGUGCAUGAGGUUCUGAGUUCUAUCCCCAGUACCUCCA
rnacentral:tRNA from 1 species